UUUGUAUAGUGCGAGUACUGGCUUUGCGCCGGUACUCAAUCGGUUUGGGUCUGGCAGCAGUCCUGCAGACCCCGGGGCAAGUUUUCCGCUGUCGGACACAUUUUCGGCAGAAGGACAGCGACUGUCAUUACUACACACACAGUUUGUUUUGUUAUUAAUGUGCAUAAAUAUGUAUCUGCGUCCAUCGUCAGAGAAGUUUGUUUUAUCUUCAUUGCCUUAACUCUUUCUGAUGUAGUUUUGUGCGCCGUAGACGUCAGAUGAGGUCCCAGAUGAGAGGCUUCAUUCUGCUGCUUCCGGAGAGGGUCGCCCGGGGAGACACUACAACUUCUCCUUCUUCGGGCUGCCCGUCACCCUGCUUCUGGGACCAGUAGAACACUACGCCUUCUACCACCACCGCCUACCACCAGGAAGGACAAUGACUAUGAUGUGCAAAAGGAAACCGCAAGUUUUAUGUUUAGGCAUGAAUAUUUAAAAGGACUGUUAUUUAAAGGGGCCCCAAAAUAAUUCAUCUUCGGUUAUUUAUGUGUCAUAGUCAUCGUUAUUUUUUUAAUUGUUAUUUAUUUAAUUGUUAUUUAUUUAAUUGUUAAUUCAUUCAAAGUUUAUAUUGCAGUUACCAUCCUUAAAUUAUUAGUUAGGCCUAACUUUUUCACAGUUAAGUUACCAUUUGUAAUCUGGAAGGGUAAAUUUUUUGAGAAAAGUGUUAUUUAAAAUUGAUAAAUUCUUUGGAUGGGGAAAUGAUCGUUGUUUGAUGUUAUUUGUAGAUUUUGAAAAUUAUAGGCUUUGUUGACAAC